GACGUAGGGCGCGAGCGUUUGUCCGGAUUUAUUGGGCGUAAAGAGCUCGUAGGCGGCUUGUCGCGUCGACUGUGAAAACCCGCGGCUCAACCGUGUGGCUUGCAGUUGAUACGGGGCAGGCUAGAGUUCGGUAGGGGAGACUGGAAUUCCGGGUGUAGCGGUGGAAUGCGUAGAGAUCCGGAAGAACACCGGUGGCGAAGGCGGUCGACUGGGCCAGUACUGACGCUGAGGCGCGACAGCGUGGGGGAGCAAACAGG
rnacentral:rRNA from 1 species